rnacentral:misc_RNA from 1 species
GUGAAUCAUCAAAUUUUUGAACGCAUAUUGCACUCUCUGGUAUUCCGGAGAGUAUGCCUGUUUGAGGGUCAGCCUAAAAAAAAAUCGACGUAGUCGCUGUUUCGCGGUGACAUUCGUCGGAAAUUGGGUCAUCUUAAACUUUUGGGUUUUUUAAGCGGUUUAAAAUUUUCUUUACGAUUCCACGAAGGUUUCUAAGAUUUUUCUUUUUAUAUACGUUUAAGGUAUCGUUCUUUAUUAUACGUGGCCGUUGGAUCGGAUCGCGUCCAUAAAUAUUUAGUUAAG